CAAGUCGAACGAUGAAGUUCCUUCGGGAAUGGAUUAGUGGCGAACGGGUGAGGAACACGUGAGAAACCUGCCUUUCAUUCUGGGAUAACACCGGGAAACCGGUGCUAAUACCGGAUACUCCGUCUUGGCGGCAUCGCCGAGCCGGGAAAAAAUUUUGAUGAAAGAUGGUCUCGCGGCCUAUCAGCUAGUUGGUGAGGUAAUGGCUCACCAAGGCGACGACGGGUAGCCGGCCUGAGAGGGCGACCGGCCACACUGGGACUGAGACACGGCCCAGACUCCUACGGGAGGCAGCAGUAGGGAAUAUUGGGCAAUGGGCGCAAGCCUGACCCAGCGACGCCGCGUGAGGGAUGAAGGUCUUCGGAUUGUAAACCUCUUUCAGUAGGGAAGAAGCGAAAGUGACGGUACCUAAAGAAGAAGCACCGGCUAACUAUGUGCCAGCAGCCGCGGUAAUACAUAGGGUGCAAGCGUUGUCCGGAAUUAUUGGGCGUAAAGAGCUCGUAGGUCGUUCGUCGCGUCGAUUGUGAAAAUCUGAGGCUCAACCUCAGACCUGCAGUCGAUACGGGCAAACUAGAGUGUGGUAGGGGAGACUGGAAUUCCUGGUGUAGCGGUGGAAUGCGCAGAUAUCAGGAGGAACACCAAUGGCGAAGGCAGGUCUCUGGGCCAUAACUGACACUGAGGAGCGAAAGUGCGGGGAGCGAACAGGAUUAGAUACCCUGGUAGUCCGCACCGUAAACGGUGGGCACUAGUUGUGGGAACCUUCCACGGUUUCCGCGACGCAGCAAACGCAUUAAGUGCCCCGCCUGGGGAGUACGAUCGCAAGAUUAAAACUCAAAGGAAUUGACGG
rnacentral:rRNA from 1 species